rnacentral:rRNA from 1 species
UACGGAGGGUGCAAGCGUUAUCCGGAUUUACUGGGUUUAAAGGGUGCGUAGGUGGGUUGGUAAGUCAGUGGUGAAAUACUUUCGCUUAACGAAGGAACUGCCAUUGAUACUACCAGUCUUGAAUACAGUGGAGGUAGGCGGAAUGCGUCAUGUAGCAGUGAAAUGCUUAGAUAUGACGCAGAACACCAAUUGCGAAGGCAGCUUGCUACACUGUUAUUGACACUGAGGCACGAAAGCGUGGGGAUCAAACAGG